rnacentral:misc_RNA from 1 species
AUGGCUUACUCAUCCUCCUCUGUCCUCUUACUCUCAUUCCUGCUCCUUGUCUCUGCAGCAGCUGCAGGCCGCAGAAUUCCUACAGCGGCUCCUGCGGGCCGUGGAGUUCCUGCUGCUGCUGCUGCAGCUGAUAUGAAAAUGGACAAGGAGUACCUCAACCAGGAAGGCAGUGUUCUUAUUCCCGGGAUCGGUCGCUACAUGAUCGGCA